AACUGUACCUGGCACAUGACAAUACUUUUUAGUUGUAGGCACUGAAAAACAUAAGAUUUGGUAAGUGGUAAGUGUUUUGCAGUUCUGGGAAGGGUAUAAUCUCCCCUAUGAUGCGUAUUCCCUUACCAUACAAUAUUAGGGAAUUUUAAGGGUUAUUUACUGACUGUUUUAAUUAUGCCAUUAUUGCACCAAAUUUAAAACC